CCCUUAGAUGUUCGGGGCCGCACGCGCGCUACACUGAAGGAAUCAACGUGUGUCUCUCCUGUCUCGAGAGGGACGGGCAACCAGUUGAACCUCCUUCGUGCUAGGGAUUGGGGCUUGUAAUUCUUCCCCAUGAACGAGGAAUUCCCAGUAAGCGCGAGUCAUCAGCUCGCGUUGAUUACGUCCCUGCCCUUUGUACACACCGCCCGUCGCUACUACCGAUCGGAUUGUCCUGUGAAUUUCUAGGAGAGUUGAGGUCCUGGCGCUUCGGUGUCGGCGACCUCAUGCUUGAAUUGAAUUGAACUGGACUCUCUAGAGGAAGUAAAAGUCGUAACA
rnacentral:rRNA from 1 species